rnacentral:rRNA from 1 species
UACGUAGGGGGCAAGCGUUAUCCGGAUUUACUGGGUGUAAAGGGAGCGUAGACGGCGAUGCAAGCCAGGGGUGAAAGCCCGGGGCCCAACCCCGGGACUGCCCUUGGAACUGCAUGGCUGGAGUGCGGGAGGGGCAGGCGGAAUUCCUGGUGUAGCGGUGAAAUGCGUAGAUAUCAGGAGGAACACCGGCGGCGAAGGCGGCCUGCUGGACCGCGACUGACGUUGAGGCUCGAAAGCGUGGGGAGCGAACAGG